ACGUAGGGGGCGAGCGUUGUCCGGAAUCAUUGGGCGUAAAGGGCGCGUAGGCGGUUAGUUAAGUCAGGGGUGAAAUCAUCGGGCUCAACUCGAUGGCUGCCUUUGAAACUGGCUGACUGGAGUGCGGGAGAGGAAAGCGGAAUUCCUGGUGUAGUGGUGAAAUGCGUAGAUAUCAGGAAGAACACCAAUGGCGAAGGCAGCUUUCUGGACCGUAACUGACGCUAAUGCGCGAAAGCGUGGGGAGCAAACAG
rnacentral:rRNA from 1 species